AGGGUAUAGCUCAGUGGUAGAGCGCAUGUGUAGUAUGCACAAGGUCCUGGGUUCAAUCCCCAGUACUUCUG
rnacentral:tRNA from 1 species